rnacentral:rRNA from 1 species
AACGAACGCUGGCGGCAUGCCUAACACAUGCAAGUCGAACGGAUGCAGCAAUGCAUCAGAAACAGACGAAAGAGUAACACGUGGGAAUCUACCCAGUAGCCUGGAAUAACCGCGGGAAACUGCGGCUAAUACCGGAUACGCCCCUCGGGGGAAAGGAGCAAUCCACUAUUGGAGGAGCCCGCGUCCGAUUAGCUAGUUGGUGAGGUAACGGCUCACCAAGGCGAUGAUCGGUAGCUGGUUUGAGAGAACGACCAGCCACACUGGGACUGAGACACGGCCCAGACUCCUACGGGAGGCAGCAGUGGGGAAUAUUGGACAAUGGGGGAAACCCUGAUCCAGCAAUGCCGCGUGGGUGAUGAAGGCCUUCGGGUUGUAAAGCCCUUUUGGCGGGGACGAUGAUGACGGUACCCGCAGAAGAAGCCCCGGCUAACUUCGUGCCAGCCGCCGCCGUAA